rnacentral:rRNA from 1 species
GACGAACGCUGGCGGCGCGCUUAACACAUGCAAGUCGAGCGAAGCGGCGGACGGGUGAGUAACACGUGAGUAACCUGCCUUAGACAUUGGGAUAGCCUCGGGAAACCGGGAUUAAUACCAAAUGAUCUAAGAGGGACUCGCGUCCCAUUAGCUAGUUGGUGGGUAACGGCCCACCAAGGCGACGAUGGGUAGCCGGCUCGUGAGGGUGAUCGGCGACUUUGGAGGUGGGAAACGGUGCGAACUCUACGGGAGGGAGCAGUGGGGAAUAUUGCACAAUGGAGGGAACUCUGAUGCAGCGACGCCGCGUGAACUAAGAAGGCUUUCGAGUCGUAAAGUUCUUUUAUAUCGGAAGCGGUACCCGAAGAAAAAGCCCCGGCUAACUACGUGCCAGCAGCCGCGGUAAUAC